AUUGUAGGGACAUUAGAUUAGAUUCAACUUUAUUGUCAUUGUGCAGUGUACACGUACAAAGACAGCAAAAUGCAGUUUGCGUCCAACCAGAAGUUCAAAAAAAAGCAGAAAAGUGCAAUGUGAUAGACAAUGUAUAGA